GCCCAGGAGCCCUAAAACCUCUCACACCCGACCUCUAUCGCUGCAAUCCAAGGCCAUCGCUCGGCCCCCGACCACAUCCACCGCCGUGGCUCUUCUCCUUCCGGCCGACGCGAUUUUAACAUUGACAGGAGAACUUAAAGAAGCUCAUUCAGCUCUCUGCCUUCCAUCAAGACCAUGCAGUUCGCUAUCUGAGAAAUGUUAUUGGUGGAUAAGUGCCAUAUAAACUCUGAACACAAGAUGGUCUCGGAUACUCUGCAAAUUAAUCAUCAUCUAACAAAUGGAGAAGCUGAGAACAAUCUUCACAACAAAGCGAAAAGGCUCUAUGUCAACCCCUGAAUGGAAGUUUAGGAGAGGUUAGUUCUUUGGGAUUUGGUGCUAAUCGUACCCAUACAGAUGAAGAAUCUGUGGACAUCUCGGAAGUCACUACAAGAGAUUCAGCAGCUACUUCCAAUUCCAACUCCCAUCUAGAUGUAAUACCUAAAACUGGAAAAAGGCAGAAUGAUAUGACUUUGGAAGACAUUUAUAAUAAAGAGUAUAAUUUUGACGAUGAUGAUGAUGAUAGUGACUGGGAUCCGUUGGAGAAGAACAUCGAAGUUUUAAAAUGGUUUUGUGUCAACUGUACAAUGGUUAACUUUGAUGAUGUCGUACACUGUGAUGUAUGUGGAGAACAUAGAGAAUCUGGAAUUCUUAGGCAUGGGUUUCAUGCCUCUCCGUUUUUGCCUGAGCAAAGUCUUGAUCCAAACGGAUCAGAAUUAAUUGAAAGUUCCAAAGAAUGUUGCUCCAAACAACUCCACUGAGUAGGAUUUGAUGAGAGGAUGCUGCUGCAUGCAGAAGUUGAAAUGAAGUCUCAUCCGCAUCCAGAAAGACCAGAUCGUCUUCGGGCUAUUGCUGCCAGCCUUGAUACUGCAGGUAUAUUUCCUGGAAGAUGUUAUCCAAUUUUAGCUAGAGAGAUUACACGAGAGGAACUUCUAAUGAUCCACUCUCCAGAGAACAUUGAGGCUGUGGAGCUCACAAGCCGUAUGCUUGCUAGUUACUUCACUCCUGAUACAUAUGCAAACGAACAUUCAGCUCGUGCUGCCAGGCUAGCAGCAGGUUUAUGUGCUGAUCUGGCUUCUACUAUAUUCUCAGGGCGUGCAAAAAAUGGUUUUGCUCUGGUUCGGCCUCCUGGUCAUCAUGCUGGUGUGAAACAGGCAAUGGGGUUCUGCCUUCACAAUAAUGCAGCAAUUGCUGCAUCAGCAGCCCAAGCUGCAGGAGCUAAGAAGGUCUUAAUUGUUGACUGGGAUGUACAUCACGGAAAUGGCACUCAAGAGAUAUUUGAUCAGAGCAAAUCGGUUUUGUAUGUGUCCCUGCAUAGACACGAGGGUGGAAAGUUCUAUCCUGGCACUGGAGCUGCUGAUGAGGUUGGUACCAUGGGUGCAGAAGGAUAUUGUGUCAAUAUUCCUUGGAGUCGCCGGGGAGUUGGCGAUAAAGACUAUAUUUAUGCAUUUCAACAUAUUGUGAUUCCUAUAGCCUCUGAGUUUGCCCCAGAUUUUACUAUCAUUUCUGCAGGAUUUGAUGCUGCAAGGGGUGAUCCCCUUGGAUGUUGUGAUGUGACUCCUGCUGGCUUUGCACAGAUGACAGAAAUGCUGACUGCUCUUUCUGGUGGAAAGUUACUUGUUAUCCUCGAGGGCGGCUAUAAUCUUCGUUCAAUAUCAUCCUCUGCUACUGCAGUUAUUAAGGUCUUGCUUGGUGAAAGUCCAGCGUGCAACUUGGAUGAUAUUGUUCCUUCCAAGUCUGGGUUGCGAACCAUUUUUGAAGUUUUAAAAAUUCAGACAAAAAUUGGCCUGCACUAGAGUCAACCUUUUCCAAAUUGCAGUUACGAUGGGAAUUUAUGCUUUUCAGGACACAGGGAAGCAGGUAAAAAGGAGACGAAAGGCAGUGGUGCCUGUUUGGUGGAGAUGGGGGCGAAAGAGGUUAUUCUAUCGUGUGCUGUCCAAGCAGCUUCAAUUUAAAGUGAAAAGGUGCCAAGUGUACAUGUGUUUCUUAGUCUGACCUGUCUUUGUAACUUCUUCAGUACCUAAAUUAGGGUUGUGCAGUUUUGUGGAAAUGGAUUCCUAGUAAUGCGAAUUAUGUUGAGUUUUACCUCUCUCUCUAUCUCGCUCCUACAUACGUACUUGCUCUAAUCUGUCUCACAUAUCAACCUUUAUGACAAUGCCAUUUGGUAGCUUAUUAGAUCGCAGAUUUCUAUUCCUUUCUACUAAUGCAGGCAAAUUCAGACUGCUUAUGUUCAAAUAAUUCAUCUCAAAUAUUUUGAUAGCAAAAGAAGUCAGUGUUGUAACAAUGUAAUUUAUUGAAGUUUACUAGCUAUCGAGCAUGAAAGCUCAGUUGUCAAA